UGAGCUUUGCCUGCUCUUUCCACGCCAGCAUCACUGAGGCCCUCACUCGGCACACCCAUGCUGGUCCUCCUGAGUCCUCCAGGCCCCUGUCACCCCAGCUCUGUCCUACCUGGUCAGAUGAGGCUAGGGGACAGCAGGCCAAGCCCACUAUGUCCCAUGUGAAGGACAAGGUUCUUGGGCACCCAUCAGGGGCCUCACCCACUGGGGACACCCUCUGGGAAGAGAACCUCAUACUAGGGAACAGCUGGUUCCUGACCCCACUUCACGAAGGUGACCCAGGGUGGGCACAGCAGAGCACAGCAGCAACAUCUGCUCAGGCUUGUGUUGGAUGGAGCUCUUAAUUGCAAUCAAUACCCAGAAAAGCCAUUCAACUCCAGCUCUGUGUCAUCCUCAGCGCAGAGAGGAUUAUGCAGAUGCCAGGACAGCACCGCGCCAGUGCUGUGGUGCGAAUCAUUCAUCAGCCACUCUCCCAGUGAACGGCCCGGCCAGCGGCCUCAGCAGCCCCUCCUAAAUUACCACGGCCAGUGGCGGGCAGCCCUGGACCAGCGUAAAUCAUUUUCUUACUGCCACCUCUGUCCAGGCAGCGCCUCUUCCACUCAGAGCCACGUUACUGUCCCCUAAAUUCAAGACCCGGUGAUUGAUGCCAACUGCCCGGCACAUGCCGAAGCCUCCAUCUGCUUACAGGGAAACAUAAACUUUGAAUACACACAUCCUGCUGAUUUUAACUGGACUAAUUUAUUGCUCACAAGCUGAGGAGCUGAUUUGUGGCAAAUUUCUCCAGCCCCCCGGGAGCCACAGCCAGCUCUCGUGUCUGCGAUGGAGGCUUGAUAAGGUCCCCCGUCGACCACAGCCUCAAGGCGCAUUCCAGUCACCAGCCCCCCAAAAGCAUAGGGGAAAGCCUGGCAAAGCACCUCCCAUGGGGGGAUUUAUUUCUGAAUUAAACACGCCAGGCCCCUGAGGAAGCCUAUUCAUUUUCGCAAUCAGCUUUCUUCUCAGUUGUAAAC
rnacentral:lncRNA from 1 species